ensembl:lncRNA
ACAAUCACAGGGACGGUGAAGCCAGCCGAGGGAAAUCAAACGGGAAGGAGGGAUGCCUUCCUGCGAUUCUGGAGCAGUCGGAGCCUGGCAGCACGGCAGUUUUUCUGCACUCCCUCACUAGAGAUGGAAUCACUGCGAGAGGUUAACAUAGAGGGGUCACAUGUCACAAUGGAUGGACUAUUCUUCAUUCGCAUGAUUAGCGUCACCUGUCACUAAUCCCUCCAUCCAAGCCUUGGUGAAGUAAAAAGCUGUCAGUCAUAAUAUCAGAUGCGUCCGUCCUCCACCCUCGCCACCUCCGAUCAGCAGCAACGUCACGCUCCUCAUCACAGGAUUGCAGCCACUUCCCUCACCACCACCACCAGCGUCUGGACCACAAGGUGGAAUACAGCCUCGUCUGACCUAAACAUCUCUACCCCUGGACUGUCCUAUUGCUGGAUGGAGUCCAAUCUCCAAAGACUUUGCACAAAUUAUAUUUAUGCAUGUUUCAUAUAUUUGUGCUGAUUGAAUUGCCUUUCUAUAAGAAUCUCAAACAAAAAAAUAAAUAUUACAAGAUUACAGU